CCUACGGGAGGCAGCAGUAGGGAAUCUUCCACAAUGGGCGAAAGCCUGAUGGAGCAACGCCGCGUGGGUGAAGAAGGUCUUCGGAUCGUAAAACCCUGUUGUUAGAGAAGAAAGUGCGUGAGAGUAACUGUUCACGUUUCGACGGUAUCUAACCAGAAAGCCACGGCUAACUACGUGCCAGCAGCCGCGGUAAUACGUAGGUGGCAAGCGUUAUCCGGAUUUAUUGGGCGUAAAGGGAACGCAGGCGAUCUGUUAAGUCUGAUGUGAAAGCCUUCGGCUUAACCGGAGUAGUGCAUUGGAUACUGGGAGACGUGAGUGCAGAAGAGGAGAGUGGAACUCCAUGUGUAGCGGUGAAAUGCGUAGAUAUAUGGAAGAACACCAGUGGCGAAAGCGGCUCUCUGGUCUGUAACUGACGCUGAGGUUCGAAAGCGUGGGUAGCAAACAGGAUUAGAUACCCUGGUAGUC
rnacentral:rRNA from 1 species